UGUAUAAAUUCGCGCCAGACAUAGCACGUGUGAGAGUUUUGUGAAGCCUAUUAAAAGGCAUCUGACAGUUCUACAUUUUCCUUAUUUACUUAUAAUUAAUU